AGCAGCCGCGGUAAUUCCAGCUCCAAUAGCGUAUAUUAAAGUUGUUGCAGUUAAAAAGCUCGUAGUUGAAUUUCGGGAUCAAUAUGUCUGUCGUGCCUUUGGUACGUACGGGUAUAAUUGGUUUCUACCUUCUGAUGAACCUUGAUGCCAUUAAUUUGGUGUCUUGGGGACUCAGGACUGUUACCUUGAAAAAAAUUAGAGUGUUUAAAGCAGGCAUACGCUUGAAUACAUUAGCAUGGAAUAAUGAAAUAGGACGUUCGAUUCUAUUUUGUUGGUUUCUAGGAUCGACGUAAUGAUUAAUAGGGAUAGUUGGGGGCAUUAGUAUUCAAUUGUCAGAGGUGAAAUUCUUGGAUUUAUUGAAGACUAACUACUGCGAAAGCAUUUGCCAAGGAUGUUUUCAUUAAUCAAGAACGAAAGUUAGGGGAUCGAAGACGAUCAGAUACCGUCGUA
rnacentral:rRNA from 1 species